rnacentral:rRNA from 1 species
CAGUAGCCGCGGGAAAACGUAGGGUGCAAGCGUUAAUCGGAAUUACUGGGCGUAAAGCGUGCGCAGGCGGUUAUAUAAGACAGAUGUGAAAUCCCCGGGCUCAACCUGGGAACUGCAUUUGUGACUGUAUAGCUAGAGUACGGCAGAGGGGGAUGGAAUUCCGCGUGUAGCAGUGAAAUGCGUAGAUAUGCGGAGGAACACCGAUGGCGAAGGCAAUCCCCUGGGCCUGUACUGACGCUCAUGCACGAAAGCGUGGGGAGCAAACAGGAUUAGAUACCCGAGUAGUCCCUGUCUCUUAUAC